ACACACACUCACAUGUGCCCCCCCACAAAUGCACCUGUGCACUCACAUGUGCCCCUACACACACACACACACACACACACACACACAUGCACCUGUGCACUCACAUGUGCUCCCCCACAAAUGCACCUGUGCACUCACAUGUACCCCUACACACACACACAAAUGCACCUGUACACUCACGUGUGCCCCUACACACACACAAAUGCACCUGUGCACUCACAUGUGCC
rnacentral:lncRNA from 1 species